rnacentral:rRNA from 1 species
AACGAACGCUGGCGGCAUGCCUAACACAUGCAAGUCGAACGAAGUCUUCGGACUUAGUGGCGCACGGGUGCGUAACGCGUGGGAAUCUGCCCUUGGGUGCGGAAUAACUUCUCGAAAGGGAUGCUAAUACCGCAUAAUGUCGUAAGACCAAAGAUUUAUCGCCCAAGGAUGAGCCCGCGUAAGAUUAGCUAGUUGGUGGGGUAAAAGCCUACCAAGGCGACGAUCUUUAGCUGGUCUGAGAGGAUGAUCAGCCACACUGGGACUGAGACACGGCCCAGACUCCUACGGAGGCAACAGUGGGGAAUAUUGGACAAUGGGCGAAAGCCUGAUCCAGCAAUGCCGCGUGAGUGAUGAAGGCCCUAGGUGUAAGCUCUUUACCUAGGAUGAUAAUGACAGUACCUGGAGAAUAAGACUCCGG